UAUCUCUGUAGAGUCUGCAUAUCAAUAAGCGGAGGAAAAGAAACUAACAAGGAUUCCCUUAGUAACGGCGAGUGAAGCGGGAAGAGCUCAAAUUUGAAAUCUUCAAGGUUCUACCUUGACGAAUUGUAGUUUAAAGAAGUGUUUUCUGUUAGAUGAGUAGCAAAAGUUCCUUGGAAUGGGACAUCAUAGAGGGUGAGAAUCCCGUAUUUGGUUAUUCAUUCUAGCUUUGUGAUACACUUUCAAAGAGUCGGAUUGUUUGGGAAUGCAGUCCAAAAUGGGUGGUAAAUUUCAUCUAAAGCUAAAUAUUGGCGAGAGACCGAUAGCGAACAAGUACCGUGAGGGAAAGAUGAAAAGAACUUUGAAAAGAGAGUUAAACAGUACGUGAAAUUGUCAAAAGGGAAGCGUUUGACACCAGUGUUGUUUUUCCGAAAAUCAAUUACGAAUGGCUUGAUUCUGUGUUGUAUUGACCUUAUCAGCUUUCUGCACUUUUUUCGAGUCUUUCUUAAUGCACUUUUCGGUUAACAAGUCAACAUCAAUUUCUUUUGUUGUAAAAGAGUAUUCGGAAGGUGGCUUUCUUUUCGGAGAAAGUGUUUAUAGCCCUAUACUUCUACAAUCGGAGAGAUUGAGGUCUGCAGCGUAGAUCCUUCGGGGUUAGAUACACUUGUGCUAAGUUGUAGCUUUUCAUAGACAACUUGUUGACUAUGAUCAGUCAUGUAGGCUUACUCGCUUAGUGCUAUUUUACCUACGCUUAGGAUGUUGACGAGACUGUCGAUCUC
rnacentral:rRNA from 1 species